rnacentral:lncRNA from 1 species
UAUAUCAUAGUUGGCUAUCGUCAUUGAUACAACUACAGCAUCAUUGUGGAGAGUUUAGACUCCUCGCAGAUCUACUUCAGUAAAGAUGAUAUGGUUGUUGGCCUGUUGGUGCUUUGCGGUGCUUUCGAAGUUGUCUGCCCUUUGGAGUCAUGGUCCCAUCAAGAUCAUGUUGAUCUCACCCAUCGUAGGUUGAGUGUGAUUCUCCUCCUCGGGGUGGGAUCAUAUCGG